CAGUGAUGAAGCUCUUCACGUCUACCAUUUUUCUCGUGUUUCUCACACUUCUGACUAUUAUAGUCACGAUACAAGGACCGAGCACAUUUGCUGUUGCUGCCGUAAUCAGCGCUGGAAAAAAGCCAGGACGCGUUAGCCGUGGCCUUACUACGCCAUUUGCUACAACUCCUCGACCAACCCCUCCACGAAAUCCUCCUCGACCGAGACCUUCCUGGGGCUGAGGAGCAACAUGCAGCAAGAAUGGAAAGAACAGCCACCCACUACUCGAAAGAACUCUUACGCCGACUGGGAGCACUGGGUAUGCGCCACUCGGUCUCUGCUUGUCUCUAAUGGACCCCUUUGAUGCCAACUUGGGUGACUGGAGCGGAACCAAACCCAUGGCACAAGGUUUCCUCACGGACACGCCGUUACUUCAGCACGCAGGUUCAAAAAGGCUCUGCGAAGAUGCCGCUCUUAAAUGAACGCCUUUUAUGCCAAGGAUCCACCGAUUGGGACAUGAACUAUUCGAUGGCUACAAAGGGUAAACCAGAAGCAUUCAUGGUGGAUCGAAAUACCUGCACGAAUGGAGAAGUCGACAAUAUACUUCAGUCUGCAGGCCUGCUAAGCAUAACAUGAAUAAAAAAUAAAUAUUGUUUCA